UAAGUCUACUUUAAAGUGUAUUUAUAUGAUAGAUUUGAAACUGAAUACCAUAAAUCUUAAAAGAGAUAAAAAAUACAAUGAGCUUAAAAAGAAGAAACAGUUAUUUUGACAUAACUGAUAAUGCAACAUUACAGUGCUUGGCUAGUGGCAUUAACUAUCCUAUUGGAGAGACUGAGGUAGAUUUUUUCUUUAGGAAAUAAACUCAAUUUAAGUGUUAAGAUGAACUUAUUAAAAAUACAUAUAUUUUUAUAUGAAAAUAAUAUCUAUAUUAACUUUAAGCCAUCUAAACUUUGUUUUAUAUUUUACAAUAUACUUUAUUUUUCUUUAAAAUGGUUAAAUUUAUAUUUAUAUUUUAUAACUCUUCAGUUUGUUAUUGGACGUUCUCUUGCCUGUUCACUUGUAAUUGAAGAAAAAUCUAUAGCACGACGACGUUGUUUUAUAAAUAAAUCCAAUGGCCAAUAUCUUAUUUCUCACAAUGGAACAGGUAAUGAAACUUAUGUAAAUUGUGUGCAAAUUCCUAAUAACCAAAAUGAUGAUCAAGUUUUAAAUCACGGAGAUGUUAUUUUCUUUGCAGAUGGGAAUGGAAGUUAUAAAUAUCUGUACAGAUUUGUUUUACAAACAAAUACAGAUCAAAAUUUGAAGUAAGAUUAUUCUUAAGACAUCAUGUGUGUAAGUAAUUUGUAGAAUAUGGAUAAACUAAUAUAAUCAAAUGUAUUAUUCAUUUUAUUAAACGCCAUCAAAUAAAUUGAUUAAUAUAAACACUAUAUCUAAAUCAAAAUUAUCUGAAAAAUAUUAUUUUAAUUCAUUCUUUUAAUAUAUGUCAGUUAUUUUUAUUAUAAACUUUCUAAUCGCUUAAUAUGAUAGUUACAAAGAGUAUGAACAAUAUUUGUUUAUAAAACUUUAAAUAUAGAUUUUACAUUUAAUAUUGUUAAAAAAUGAAAACAAUUAUUCCUUUUUAAAUUUUAACUUUUAAACUAUGACACGACUUACGUAGCAAAAAAGGUGGUCGACUCUGGUUUUGAGGGUAGAGACCCGUGGGCCGUUUAUUAAAUGAGCGACAACAGAUUAUUUUAACAAAAAUAAAACAAACCGCAAACACAGUAAUAAUAAUCUUCGCAUAAUAUCGCGGCACUUUCGAUGGCGUCGACGACGCGACGUCCGGCCUGAUCCUUGGGCGACAACAGGUUAGCAGCGUUGUAGGCGACGGUGCGCGGGUGCGGAUCGGUUGGUCGACGUUGUCGCUUUCACAACGGGAGGAAGACUCUCGCACUAGAGAUAGAGUCGUUCGCGAACGAACGGGUCAAAAUAGUGAACGAAAUGGUUCAGAUCACCGAAUCGCAGUGAUCCGGAUCCCCCAAAAACUAAUUUUUUCCGGUAUAAAUCACACUGAACCGAUUCGAUCGCUUACCAAAUAUCAAUGAUAACAUAUUCAUAUGUCAUUUGCUUAUACGACACAUCCCUAAUCCGAAUCGCGAAUCGAGAACCGCAAAAGAAUCAAAACUAUACUGAAUGUUCGAUUCAAUUGACUCAAAAUAUCUUUUUAAUCGCGAACGGGUCUUUGAACCGGAUCUUCUAGUUGCCCCGAUUCGAAUGAAUCGGAUUACUUAGGCGAACCAUAAUUCCCAUCUCUAUCUCGCACCAUUUGCGGCGGGUCGUCAUCGGACGUGCGGUAUUUGCUGGACUUUGCACCGUAGCGUAUAACACGCGGUGUGGGUCAGUCAAAUACUCAUAGUAGGGCGACGACUGAUAAAGGUGGCACGAGUCGCGGGGCAUCGUGUAUAACGAAGCGACGCGGGCCGUGUCAAAUAUGCUUUGCUCACGAAAAAUAUUAAAAAAAACUUGCAUUCAUGACGAAAUAAUGAAGUAUAUGGUGAAGAAUAUGAAUCUAGUAAAAGUCUAUCUUAUGUUGACAAUAUUCUGAAAAGUGAAAAAGCAUUAAUGAAGUGUUUUCUAAUUGCUAAAUUAGAUAAUUUUUAUGAAACAAUUAAUCAAGAAUCAAAAAAAGUUAACAAAUUGAAAAAAACAGUUCUAAAACGUAAACUCGCCAGUAAUGAAUUAACAAAAAAGAAUUUAGACUACCAAAAUAAUUUAAAAAUUCAACAAGAUCAAAUAUCAAAAAUUGAAGAAACAAUCAAAGAAAAUGUUUAUAGUGUUCUAGAAAGUGAUUUUCAAUGUUCAAUUUGUAAUGAAUUAAUGGUUAAGGCGUGUACAAUUAAUUGCAGCCAUACAUUUUGUGAAAUUUGUUUAAAUACUUGGUUGAAAAAUUGUCAAGUGUGUCCUCUUUGUUGAACUUUAGUUCAUACCAAAACUCUUUGUCUAUCUCUGGAUAACUUUAUUACUAAUAUUUGUAAUCUUCUUGGGAAUGCAAUAAAAGAACAUCGGGAAAAAUUACAACAAGAAAAAUUGACAGUUAAUGUCCCACGAUUAGAGUAUGCACCACAAACUGCUAGAAGAGGUGGUAGAAGAAUAGGUACAACUCAAUGUCGAAAUACACAACUUGCACAUGUUCAAUAAGAAAUAGUGCAAAGAAUUCACGAAGUUAUGUUUUGAUAAAUACCUGAAUUUUUGACUAAUGUAAUACAUUUUAAACUUUCUAAAAGAAAAAUUACUUUUUACUCUUUCAUAUUUUAGAAAAAUCGAACAAAAUAUAAUUAAAUAAUUAUAAUUAUUCAUGUGAAUUUUGUAAAUAAUUUUAGUUUGUUUUUGUACAACUUAGUUUAAUAAACUCUUACUACAUAUGUAAUAUUUAAACUUUGAAUUUAAAAUUGUUAAAUUUUAUAU